AGCGAACGCUGGCGGCAGGCUUAACACAUGCAAGUCGAGCGGGCAUCUUCGGAUGUCAGCGGCAGACGGGUGCGUAACACGUGGGAACGUACCCUUCGGUUCGGAACAACUCUGGGAAACUGGAGCUAAUACCGGAUACGCCCUUAUGGGGAAAGGUUUACUGCCGAAGGAUCGGCCCGCGUCUGAUUAGCUAGUUGGUGGGGUAACGGCCUACCAAGGCGACGAUCAGUAGCUGGUCUGAGAGGAUGAUCAGCCACACUGGGACUGAGACACGGCCCAGACUCCUACGGGAGGCAGCAGUGGGGAAUAUUGGACAAUGGGCGCAAGCCUGAUCCAGCCAUGCCGCGUGAGUGAUGAAGGCCUUAGGGUUGUAAAGCUCUUUUGUCCGGGACGAUAAUGACGGUACCGGAAGAAUAAGCCCCGGCUAACUUC
rnacentral:rRNA from 1 species